ACACGACUACAUUAGAUACCCGGGUAGUCCUAGCCGUAAACGAUACUCGCUAGGUGUCGGCCACGGUGCGACCAUUGUCGGUGCCGUAGGGAAGCCGUGAAGCGAGCCACCUGGGAAGUACGGCCGCAAGGCUGAAACUUAAAGGAAUUGGCGGGGGAGCACAACAACGGGUGGAGCUUGCGGUUUAAUUGGAUUCAACGCCGGAAAUCUUACCGGGACCGACAGCAACAUGAAGGCCAAGCUGAAGACUUUGCCGGAUUAGCUG
rnacentral:rRNA from 1 species